CAUGGACGUAGGCAUAUUGCCGAACCACGUAUAUCUGGUGUCUCUUCAUUAUUUGCUUAUUUUUUUUAUCAUCUGAAGUUUUUUUAUUUGUUCGUUCAUCUUGUUGAAAGCGUCUGCAGGACGAUUUUAAAUCACAACAAAAAUCAGCUGGUUGAUCGAAACAGAUCGGACUUCAAACUUCUAAGAAUAUGUUGUUAAACUCCAUAGUCCUCCUCUUUCUCUUCAUUUCUUCAAGAAAAUGCUCAGGAUGCACCAGUUGUAGAAGUAUCAAAUGAAAAGCCAGUCUGCAACGAUGUUCCAAAAUGUGCCAAGAACCAAUUUGCAAAGAAGUAAUCAAGUGGAAAUACGAUCAAGGAGGUAACAUUAGAACAAUGAACUGUAACAUCCAUGAAGACUAAUGAAGUAUUUGUGUACAGCCAUAAAGAGUCCAGCAAAUUGAGUGGUGGAAUGAUGAAUGUAAUAGCAAACAGAGGCUACGCAUCUUUCGUAUUUUGAGUGGAAAGAAGACAUGCAGCCACCUUACUUUAUUGAGGAAUAAGAUAAAAAGCAAUCGCUAUAUAUAGCUAAUAUUUACAAGGGAGGAAAGAAACACAAAAGAAAGAUAAAACCUAGAGAAUCAUGUCAGC
rnacentral:lncRNA from 1 species